GACGAACGCUGGCGGCGUGCUUAACACAUGCAAGUCGAACGGAAAGGCCCUGCUUUUGUGGGGUGCUCGAGUGGCGAACGGGUGAGUAACGCGUGAGUAACCUGCCCUUGACUUUGGGAUAACUUCAGGAAACUGGGGCUAAUACCGGAUAGGAGCUCCUGCUGCAUGGUGGGGGUUGGAAAGUUUCGGCGGUUGGGGAUGGACUCGCGGCCUAUCAGCUUGUUGGUGGGGUAGUGGCUUACCAAGGCUUUGACGGGUAGCCGGCCUGAGAGGGUGACCGGCCACAUUGGGACUGAGAUACGGCCCAGACUCCUACGGGAGGCAGCAGUGGGGAAUAUUGCACAAUGGGCGGAAGCCUGAUGCAGCAACGCCGCGUGCGGGAUGACGGCCUUCGGGUUGUAAACCGCUUUCGCCUGUGACGAAGCGUGAGUGACGGUAAUGGGUAAAGAAGCACCGGCUAACUACGUG
rnacentral:rRNA from 1 species